rnacentral:rRNA from 1 species
GACGAACGCUGGCGGCGUGCUUAACACAUGCAAGUCGAGCGAUGAAAGCCUUAUGAACUAUUCGUAGUGAUUGAGGCCGGAUUAGCGGCGGACGGGUGAGUAACGCGUGAGCAACCUGCCUUAAACAACGGGAUAGCCUCGGGAAACCGGGAUUAAUACCGUAUGAGACCCCGCCUUCACAUGAAGAAGAGGUUAAAGAUUUAUCGGUUUAAGAUGGGCUCGCGUCUGAUUAGCUAGUUGGUGAGAUAAAAGCCCACCAAGGCAACGAUCAGUAACCUGCUUGAGAGAGGGAACGGUCACAUUGGAACUGAGACACGGUCCAAACUCCUACGGGAGGCAGCAGUGGGGAAUAUUGCACAAUGGGGGAAACCCUGAUGCAGCGACGCCGCGUGAGCGAUGAAGGAAUUCGUUUCGUAAAGCUCUGUCCAAGGGGAAGAUAAUGACAGUACCCUUGGAGGAAGCCCCGGCUAAAUACGUGCCAGCCGCCGCAGUAA